rnacentral:misc_RNA from 1 species
UCGGCCUUAAUCAAAGCCACGACCUUGCAUCGAAGCGCAUCCUCAUCGGCGGGAGCAACUCCGAGAACUUGAUCUGCGACUUUGACGGCUUGCUCGUAAUCGGAUCGCUGGAUGUGCUUGUUGAGAGUACUGAAGAGAUCUUCGAUGGCGGGCGGAGGCUGCCACGGCGACGUAGAGGGUUUCCCUUUGUCUUUGGGCUUAGGAGGCAUGGUGAUUUUCUCGGAAACCAAACAGAGAAGAGGAAAGAGAAAAUGCAAGUGCUAGAUGAAUAGAUGGGAGAUUGGAGGUUCGGCGUUG